UCCCUUAGAUGUUCUGGGCCGCACGCGCGCUACACUGAUGCAUUCAACGAGUCUAAAACCUGCUCUGAUAGGGGUGGGUAAUCUUUUGAAUGUGCAUCGUGAUUGGGAUAGAUGAUUGCAAUUUUUCAUCUUCAACGAGGAAUGCCUAGUAAACGCAAGUCAUCAGCUUGCAUUGAUUACGUCCCUGCCCUUUGUACACACCGCCCGUCGCUCCUACCGAUUGAAUGAUCCGAUGAAUAUCAUGGAUUGAGGAUGCAAGUAGGUUCGCCUAUCUUCAUCUUCGAGAAGUGAAGUAAAUCUUAUCAUUUAGAGGAAGGAGAAGUCGUAACA
rnacentral:rRNA from 1 species